CCCACACUUUAUUCUUCUUAGAGACCUGAGCUCAGGCAACAGCUGGAUAGAAUAAAAGGGAUGCUUUUAGUCUUAACCUUUUUUGACAGUUGCUUUAUUGUUACUCGGCAUUAAUUUUCUAUUAUAGACUAUUUGCUUAGCAUGCUUAAGGUCCUGGAAUUGAUCGGCGGCGCAUUAAAAACAAAACAAAACAAAUUUGUCUUAUUUUCUGAGGUCCAGUCUGGCCUCAAACUCCCCAUAUAGUCAAGGAGUCCUUGAACUCCGGAUUCUCUUCCUCUCCCUCCCUAGUCCUGGGAUUUUAGCAGGUCUCUGGUGGUGUUGAAGAUUGAACCCAGUGCCUUGUACUCUGCUAGUUGAGCUACAGCCCAGCCCCCCCCCCCCCAGAGACUAAUUAUCUCAUAUCUCCGAAGAGGAAAGAGUAGGAAGUGGAUCUAGUCAUCUGAAACCAAGGCGUCAGCUGGGCUUGUUCUUCCAAGGACCUUUCCUUUUCCCGCUUCUCGAAAUCACCUGCAUUUCUUUGUCAAUGGCCCUCCCUCUACACCAAAAUCAGUAAUGAGGAGUUGAGUCUGUCACAUUCCAUAACUGACAUCUCUCGUCAUCACAGGCCACUCGCUCCACUGCAGGGUCCUUUGCCUUGGGAACACACUCAGACUCCAGGAAUUAUGAAGCAGACGUCUUUGAGAGUUGUUCAGAACGGCGUUAGGCUAUUAAGUCUGAAUGCUGGGUGGAUAUUCAUGACUGAAAAGUAAGCUUAGUAGUGUGGCUGGAGAUGGCAGCCCACCUGGCACCACAGAGCUCAGGAAGCAGAGGCAGGAUAGCUGUAGGUUAAGGUCAGCUAACACACAGCAAACAGGUCCUAAACAUUGCCCACCCCCAAAAGCUCAGAAUGCUGACUGCUUAUAAGAGCGUGAAAAUGAGUCAGUGAUGUAAGUACCACAGUGUUUACCACAGGUCAGGUGUUCAUUUUGAGAACUGGUGAGCUGAAUAAGAAUGUUUGCCACAGAUAGGCUUGAGUUUGAACGCUUGGUUCUCAGUUGGUGGGAACUGUUUAGAGGAUUAGGUGGUAUGCCCAUGUUGGAGGCGGUGUGUCCCUGGGGGUGGGCUCUGAGGCUUUAAAAGUCCACCCCACCCAUUCCCAGUUCCCUCUCUCUGCCUCAUGCUUGUAGCUAAGGUCUAAGUUAUUUUGGCUACUGCUCCGGCAUCAUGCCCACCGGCUAGCUGCCAUGUUCUCUUCAAUGUCGGGUCUUGCGCUUUAAUCCUCUGGAACGGAGAGCCCCUCCCCCAUCCAGUGAUUUCAUUUACAAGUUGCUUUGGCCUUGGUGUUUUGUCACAAUAGGAAAGUUAAGACAGGGAUUCUACUGAGUCAGUUCUGACUGUAACGGUCUCUGGCUUUGCAUUUACAGGGACCUCGGGGGAAGAAUGCCUUCUUAGUAUGGGACGACUGGUCAUGACAGUGGUCAAAGGGAGUUUAGUGGGGCUGGAGGGAUGGCUUCCUGGUUAAGAGCACUUAAUAUUCUUACAAAGGACGGGUUUGAUUCCCAGCAUCCAAAUGGUGGCUUACAACCACCCUUAACUCCAGUUCCGGGGACCCGGUGAUUUAUCUGUGAGGGCACUGGGCAUGAAUGUGGUACACAUACACAGAUGCAAACAAAACAAAUAAAAUACCCCCCACCCUGCCACCGCCCCACCGCAAAGGCUUGUGUACAGCCUGAAGUUAUGGAGGCAUUUUCUGGAUCGAGGUCCCCUCCUUGUAUCAGGUUGAUACGGACUGUCAGCAAAGUCCAAAUACUCCGAUCGCUGAGGGACAAAGGAAGUGCCUGACAUGUCUGGUCACAGUGAGCAGUGGAGAAAGUGGUGUAUCUGCUAUACCUGAAAAAAGGAAACAAAACAUAAGAAUGAUCAUGGGGACAAUCGGUUUAAAAAUGGCUGAGACCAGAAGCAAAUUAUGGGCACCUUCUCCUACCCCCACUAGGUAACCGGAUAGUCCUCUUCUGAGAAGCAGUGGCCACUGUAUUAUCUGUCUGGCUUGUGACAUGGCUGACCACUUACCCGCUGGUGCUAAGGAUUUCAAUGCUUCCAAAAGAUGUGGGCUGGAGAACUUGACGAGGCACCGGAGGGGCUCUUUCCUGUCAGCCAAGAUGCCCCCACCUACGUCACUCUUGAACUUGGUUUCCAGCUGUCAAAAAUAUAUUUGUAAAUGAUGGUCACGUA